GACAGAGGUCCCGAGCGUUAGGCGGAAUCACUGGGCUUAAAGCGUGUGUAGGCGGAUUUGUAAGUACCUUGUGAAAUCCCACAGCUUAACUGUGGAACUGCUUGGUAUACUGCUUAUCUUGGGCCACUUAGGGGUUACCGGAACAAACGGUGGAGCGGUGAAAUGCGUAGAUAUCGUUUGGAACGCCAAUGGUGAAAACAGGUAACUGGGAGUGUGCCGACGCUGAGACACGAAAGCCAGGGGAGCGAACAGG
rnacentral:rRNA from 1 species